GAAUCAACGCUGGCGGCGUGCCUAACACAUGCAAGUCGAACGCGAGGACCCCCGCAAGGGGGUUAGUAGAGUGGCAAACGGGUGAGUAACACGUGGGUGACCUACCUUCGAGUGGGGGAUAACGUUCCGAAAGGAGCGCUAAUACCGCAUGACAUCCUGCUUUUGGAAAAGCGGACAUUAAAGCCGGGGAUCGCAAGACCUGGCGCUUGAAGAGGGGCCCGCGCCUGAUUAGCUAGUUGGUGAGGUAACGGCUCACCAAGGCGACGAUCAGUAGCCGGCCUGAGAGGGCGGACGGCCACACUGGGACUGAGACACGGCCCAGACUCCUACGGGAGGCAGCAGUGGGGAAUUGUUCGCAAUGGGCGCAAGCCUGACGACGCAACGCCGCGUGGAGGACGAAGAUCUUCGGGUCGUAAACUCCUUUCGAUCGGGAAGAACGGCUCCGGGGCUAACAUCCCUGGAGAGUGACGGUACCGAGAGAAGAAGCCCCGGCUAACUCCGUGCCAGCAGCCGCGGUAAUACGGGGGGGGCAAGCGUUGUUCGGAAUUACUGGGCGUAAAGGGCUCGUAGGCGGCCAACUAAGUCGGAUGUGAAAUCCCCAGGCUCAACUUGGGAACUGCAUCCGAUACUGGAUGGCUUGAAUCCGGGAGAGGGAUGCGGAAUUCCAGGUGUAGCGGUGAAAUGCGUAGAUAUCUGGAGGAACACCGGUGGCGAA
rnacentral:rRNA from 1 species